CAAAGAUUAAGCCAUGCAUGUCUCAGUACAAGCCUAAAAAUGGUGAAGCCGCGAAUAGCUCAUUACAACAGUCGUAGUUUAUUAGAAAGUAUCUCUAUGGAUAACUGUGGUAAUCCUAGAGCUAAUACAUGUACAAAGCCGUGACUUAACGCAACGGCGCAUUUAUUAGAACAAAGCCGAUCAGACUAUGUCUGUCUCAGGUUGACUCUGAAUAACUUAACUAAUCGCACAGUCUUUGCACUGGCGAUGUAUCUUUCAAAUGUCUGCCCUAUCAACUGUUGAUGGUAGAUUAUGCGCCUACCAUGGUUGUAACGGGUAACGGAGAAUCAGGGUUUGAUUCCGGAGAGGGAGCCUGAGAAACAGCUACCACAUCCAAGGAAGCAGCAGGC
rnacentral:rRNA from 1 species